AAAUUGCUAUCACUUGUACGUAUGUAUAUGUAUAUUAAUGAACGGAUUAAGUAGUGAACGUUCCAAAAACACUUUCAACACAUUCGUUUUAUAUAUUCCAAUGUAAACUAAAACAUGACAUGUCUUCAAUGAUGCAAUCUAAUAAAUUUAAUUGGUUUUUA